CGCGUAGGCGGCCAUCUAAGUCAGACGUGAAAUCCCCCGGCUUAACCUGGGAACUGCGUCUGAUACUGGAAGGCUUGAGUAUGGGAGAGGGAUGUAGAAUUCCAGGUGUAGCGGUGAAAUGCGUAGAUAUCUGGAGGAAUACCGGUGGCGAAGGCGGCAUCCUGGACCAUUACUGACGCUGAGGCGCGAAAGCUAGGGGAGCAAACG
rnacentral:rRNA from 1 species